rnacentral:rRNA from 1 species
AUACGGAGGGUCCAAGCGUUAUCCUGAAUCAUUGGGUUUAAAGGUUCCGCAGGCGGUCAAUUAAGGCAGAGUUGAAAGCCCAUCGCUCAACGAUGGAACUGCCUUUGAUACUGGUUGACUUGAGUUAUACGGAAGUAGAUAGAAUAAGUAGUGUAGCGGUGAAAUGCAUAGAUAUUACUUAGAAUACCGAUUGCGAAGGCAGUCUACUACGUAUAUACUGACGCUGAGGGACGAAAGCGUGGGGAGCGAACAGGAUUAGAAACCCUAGUAGUCC